rnacentral:rRNA from 1 species
CCCUUAGAUGUUCUGGGCCGCACGCGCGCUACAAUGAUGCAGGCAACGAGUGCCGCUCCUUAGCCGAAAGGCUUGGGGAAUCUUGAAAACUGCAUCGUGCUAGGGAUAGAUGAUUGCAAUCGUGCAUCUUGAACGAGGAAUGCCUUGUAAGCGUGAGUCAUCAACUCGCGCUGAAUACGGCCCUGCCCUUUGUACACACCGCCCGUCGCUCCUACCGAUUGGAUGGUCCGGUGAACUGGUCGGACUGCUGUUUGAAAUUGCGGGUGCAGUUGAUUCACGGGAAGUCUAGUAAACCUUAUCAUCUAGAGGAAGGAGAAGUCGUAACA